rnacentral:rRNA from 1 species
GAUGAACGCUGGCGGCGUGCUUAACACAUGCAAGUCGAACGAUGAAGCCCAGCUUGCUGGGUGGAUUAGUGGCGAACGGGUGAGUAACACGUGAGUAACCUGCCCUUAACUCUGGGAUAAGCCUGGGAAACUAGGUCUAAUACCGGAUAGGAGCGCCUACCGCAUGGUGGGUGUUGGAAAGAUUUAUCGGUUUUGGAUGGACUCGCGGCCUAUCAGCUUGUUGGUGAGGUAAUGGCUCACCAAGGCGACGACGGGUAGCCGGCCUGAGAGGGUGACCGGCCACACUGGGACUGAGACACGGCCCAGACUCGGACGGGAGGCAGCAGUGGGGAAUAUUGCACAAUGGGCGCAAGCCUGAUGCAGCGACGCCGCGUGAGGGAGGACGGCCUUCGGGUUGUAGACCUCUUUCAGUAGGGAAGAAGCGAAAGUGACGGUACCUGCAGAAGAAGCACCGGCUAACUACGUGCCAGCCGCCGCCGUAACAC